CUUUGAGCCGCAUGGAAAAGCCACAGACAUCCCCCGCCCUCAGGGAACUCGCAGUCUUUGAGGGGAGACCGCGCGCAAACCACUCUGAACAGACAAGAGCCAAGUAGGAUAAAAUAGGGACGCCAGCAUAUCCUCCUUGAUCUUGGAGCUCUGGAGUAUGGCUGUAAUAUUCCUGGGAAUUUUCAUAUUGGGAUCUCUUUUAGAAGGGAGAGGAAGAGAAUAAACAUUUAUAUAAUGCCAAGAACUUGUUAAGAGCUUUUUACAAAUAUGAUCUCAUUUUAGCUUCACAACAACCCUUCAAGGAUCAGAUGAUGGUGACUGGAUGUGACAGGUUGCCCUAUUCCUUUGGCAGCCACUAUGGAAAUAAACCCUCAAGAAGGAAUUUUUUCCCACAAGAUCAUUUUCAGAAAGGGUCCAGGCCUAAGUUGAGAAGGAGUGGUCUCAGCUUGUUGAGAAUUGGUGUACACGAACUGAUGCUGAGUGAAAUGAGCAGGACCAGGAGAUCAUUAUAUACUUCAACAACAAUACUAUAUGAUGACCAGUUCUGAUGGACCUGGCCAUCCUCAGCAAGGAGAUCAACCAAAUCAUUUCCAAUGGAGCAGUAAUGAACUGAACCAGCUAUGCCCAGAGAAAGAACUCUGGGUGAUAACUAAAAACAAUUACAUUGAACUCCCAAUCCCUAUAUUUAUGCCCACCUGCAUUUUUGAUUUCCUUCACAAGCUAAUUGUACAAUAUUUCAGAGUCUGAUUCUUUUUGUACAGCAAAAUAACGGUUUGGUCAUGUAUACUUAUUGUGUAUCUAAUUUAUAUUUUAAUAUAUUUAACAUCUACUGGUCAUCCUGCCAUCUGGGGGAGGACGUGGGGGGUAAGAGGUGAAAAAUUGGAACAAGAGGUUUGGCAAUUGUUAAUGCUGUAAAAUUACCCAUACAUAUAACCUGUAAAUAAAAGGCUAUUAAAUAAAUAAAAAUAAAUAAAUAAAUAAAAAAGAGAAUUGGUGUACAUUGCUUAAUAAAUCAAAAUACUUGGAAGCUU
rnacentral:lncRNA from 1 species